AUGUAUGGAUGUGUGUUUCCAUGCAUGUUUGUUCAUGCAGGUUUGCCUGAUCAAGACUGUGAGGAGGAGGAGAAUCAGCUUCAGAAGAGCUGCAGCAGGAGUGGGAAGCCAAGCAGGAGAAGAUCAAGAGCGAGGAGAUUGAGAUCACCUUCAGCUACUGGGACUGCUUUGGGCACUGGUGGACAGUCAAGAUGAGAAAGGGCAAUACCUUGCAGCAGUUCCUGCAGAAGGCGCUGGAGAUCCUCCAGAAAGACUUCAGUGAGCUGAGAUCUGCAGGGGAGGAGCAGCUCAUGUACAUCAAGGAGGACUUGAUCAUCCCGCAUUAUCACAGCUUCUAUGACUUCAUCGUCACCAAGGCAUGGGGGAAGAGUGGGCCGCUCUUCAACUUUGACAUUCACGAUGACAUUCGGUUGCUCAGUGAUGCCACCGUGGAGAAAGAUGAGUCACAUGCAGGCAAGGUAGUGCUGAGGAGCUGGUAUGAGAAGAACAAGCACAUCUUCCCUGCCAGCCGCUGGGAACCCUACAACCCCGAGAAGAAGUGGGACAAGUACACGAUCCACUGAGCGUCUGGGAGGCUAUGUGGCCUCAGCUCUUCAGCUCCCUCAGUGUGCCCCAUGAUAUCCCGGGACCCCAGGCACCCACUCCCCUGCCACCAUGCCAGGCACACUGGGAGGAGGACAGCAGCUGCUCGUGUCCUGACCUUGGCAUGUCAGUGACUGCUUUAUUCUUUUACAAUAAAGAAGUGCACAUGUCAGAGCCGGAGCACCUGCAGUGUGAGA